rnacentral:rRNA from 1 species
UUCUGGCUCAGGAUGAACGCUAGCUACAGGCUAACACAUGCAAGUCGAGGGGCAGCAUGGGCUAGCUGCUAAGCCGAUGGCGACCGGCGCACGGGUGAGUAACACGUAUCCAACCUGCCGAUUACUCCGGUACAGCCUUUCGAAAGAAAGAUUAAUCCCGGAUGGCAUGGCGAUUCCGCAUGGUUCUCCAUAAAGGUUUUUCCGGUAAUCGAUGGGGAUGCGUUCCAUUAGGCAGUUGGCGGGGUAACGGCCCACCAAACCUACGAUGGAUAGGGGUUCUGAGAGGAAGGUCCCCCACAUUGGAACUGAGACACGGUCCAAACUCCUACGGGAGGCAGCAGUGAGGAAUAUUGGUCAAUGGGCGGAAGCCUGAACCAGCCAAGUAGCGUGAAGGAUGACUGCCCUAUGGGUUGUAAACUUCUUUUAUAAGGGAAUAAUUGCGGGUACGCGUACCUGUUUGCAUGUACCUUAUGAAUAAGGAUCGGCUAACUCCGUGCCAGCAGCGGC